rnacentral:rRNA from 1 species
CCUACGGGCGGCUGCAGUGGGGAAUAUUGCACAAUGGGCGCAAGCCUGAUGCAGCCAUGCCGCGUGUGUGAAGAAGGCCUUCGGGUUGUAAAGCACUUUCAGCGGGGAGGAAGGCGGUGAGGUUAAUAACCUCAUCGAUUGACGUUACCCGCAGAAGAAGCACCGGCUAACUCCGUGCCAGCAGCCGCGGUAAUACGGAGGGUGCAAGCGUUAAUCGGAAUUACUGGGCGUAAAGCGCACGCGGGCGGUCUGUCAAGUCGGAUGUGAAAUCCCCGGGCUCAACCUGGGAACUGCAUUCGAAACUGGCAGGCUAGAGUCUUGUAGAGGGGGGUAGAAUUCCAGGUGUAGCGGUGAAAUGCGUAGAGAUCUGGAGGAAUACCGGUGGCGAAGGCGGCCCCCUGGACAAAGACUGACGCUCAGGUGCGAAAGCGUGGGGAGCAAACAGGAUUAGAUACCCGGGUAGUC